GAUCAUGGCUCAGGAUGAACGCUGGCGGCGUGCUUAACACAUGCAAGUCGAACGAAGAUGCCGGAGUGCUUGCACUUUGGCAGACUGAGUGGCGGACGGGUGAGUAACGCGUGGGUAACCUGCCUUAUACAGGGGGAUAACAGUUGGAAACGACUGCUAAUACCGCAUAAGCGCACGGUAUCGCAUGAUACAGUGUGAAAAACUCCGGUGGUAUAAGAUGGACCCGCGUCUGAUUAGCUUGUUGGUGAGGUAACGGCCCACCAAGGCGACGAUCAGUAGCCGGCCUGAGAGGGUGAACGGCCACAUUGGGACUGAGACACGGCCCAAACUCCUACGGGAGGCAGCAGUGGGGAAUAUUGCACAAUGGGGGAAACCCUGAUGCAGCAACGCCGCGUGAGUGAAGAAGUAUUUCGGUAUGUAAAGCUCUAUCAGCAGGGAAGAAAAUGACGGUACCUGACUAAGAAGCCCCGGCUAACUACGUG
rnacentral:rRNA from 1 species